GUUAGAGAGUCGCACGCCUCAAACGUGUCACCAAGGGCGAUCGAGGACCGUGCCACCUGGUGCCGGCAGAGCGGUUUGGCAGUGUGUGUGAGGAGUUGAGACAGGCCUUACAGAGAGAGGAGCAGGCUCAGGGUCUCCUGAGACAACAGUCUGACCAGCUACACACACUGGGGUUACGCAUGGACACACAUUGUGGAGAAGAGAGAGAGAGAGAACACACACUCUCACAGGCCGUACAGAGUCUGUCGGAAGCUCGUCAGGAGGUGCGUCAGAAGGAGCAGUCUCUAAGGGUUCUGGGUAAACACCUGUCGGGCCUACAGCAGGAGAAGAAGAGUCUGGAGGAGAGUGUCAGACACGCGGGA